rnacentral:rRNA from 1 species
AUUGAACGCUGGCGGAAUGCUUUACACAUGCAAGUCGAACGGCAGCACGGACUUCGGUCUGGUGGCGAGUGGCGAACGGGUGAGUAAUGUAUCGGAACGUGCCCAGUCGUGGGGGAUAACGUAGUGAAAAUUACGCUAAUACCGCAUACGAUCUAUGGAUGAAAGGGGGGCAUCGCAACACCUCGCGCGGUGGGAGCGGCCGAUAGCAGAUUAGGUGGUUGGUGGGUAAAGGCCCACCCAGCCAACGAUCUGUAGCUGGUCUGAGAGGACGACCAGCCACACUGGAACUGAGACACGGUCCAGACUCCUACGGGAGGCAGCAGUGGGGAAUUUUGGACAAUGGGCGCAAGCCUGAUCCAGCCAUUCCGCGUGCAGGAUGAAGGCCCUCGGGUUGUAAACUGCUUUUGUACAGAACGAAAAGGUUUCUACUAAUACUAGGAGCUCAUGACGGUACUGUAAGAAUAAGCACCGGCUAACUACGUGCCAGCAGCCGCAGUAA